rnacentral:rRNA from 1 species
AGAAGCUACUAAGGGCUUUCGGUGAAUGCCUUGGCGCCAAGUGCCGAUGAAGGACGUGGGACACUGCGAUAAGCCUCGGGGAGCCGUGUACAGGCUUUGAUCCGGGGAUUUCCGAAUGAGGAAACUCGUUGCGGCGAACCCGCAACAUCCUCCUGCUGAACACAUAGGCUGGAGGAGGGGCACCCAGGGAACUGAAACAUCUAAGUACCUGGAGGAACAGAAAAUAUUCUCCUAGUAGUGGCGAGCGAACGGGGAACAGCCCAAACCGUCCUUGCUUGCAAGGGCGGGGUUGUAGGGUCUGGCAUAUGGAAGUUACAAAACGAUCAGUUAGCGGAAAGGUGUGGGAAAGCCUGCCAUAGAGGGUGACAGCCCCGUAUGCGAAAAUUGAUCGUCUUCCGCCAGAUACCUGAGUACUGCCGGGCACGCUAAUCCGGCAGGAAUCUGGGGAGUCCACUCUCCAAGGCUAAAUACAUUUGGCGACCGAUAGUGAACAAGUACCGUGAGGGAAAGGUGAAAAGUCCCCCUGUUAGGGGAGUGAAAUAGAACCUGAAACCGAGAGCCUACAAACAGUUGGAGGGCUAACAGUGGGUUGAGCGCUGUAGAAAUACAGAUGUUCCCCGCUAUGCCUGACAGCGUGCCUCUUGGAGAAUGAGCCUGCGAGUUAAUCUCAGUGGCAAGGUUAAGGGAGUAACACCCGUAGCCGUAGCGAAAGCGAGUCUGAACAGGGCGUAUAGUCGCUGGGAUUAGACCCGAAACCGGGUGAGCUACCCAUGGGCAGGGUGAAGCGAGUCUAAUCACUCGUGGAGGCCCGAACUUACUAACGUUGCAAAGUUAGAAGAUGACCUGUGGGUAGAGGUGAUAUGCCAAACGAACUCGGAGAUAGCUGGUUCUCCCCGAAAUAGCUUUAGGGCUAGCGUCAUGCGUUUAGUACUGGAGGUACAGCACUGAAUGGGCUAAGGGGCUUACCGCUUACUGAACCCAAUCAAACUCGGAAUGCCAGUACUCCAUAGCAUGGCAGUCGGACUACGGGAGAUGAGUUUCGUGGUCGAAAGGGAAACAGCCCAGAUCAUCAGCUAAGGUCCCAAAAUCUACACUAAGUGGGAAACGAGGUGAGGUUACUUGAACAACCAGGAGGUUGGCUUAGAAGCAGCCACCCUUUAAAAAGUGCGUAACAGCUUACUGGUCUAGUGACCUUGCGCGGAAAACUUAACGGGGCUAAGUGUAGUACCGAAGCUAUGAGUCUCAGCGCAAGCUGGGGCAGUAGGGGAGCGUUCCAUCAGCGGUGAAGGUCGAUCGAUAAGGGCGACUGGAGCGGAUGGAAGUGAGAAUGCAGGCAUGAGUAGCGUAUAAACACGUGAGAACCGUGUUCGCCGUAAAUCUAAGGUUUCCGACGCCAGGUCAUUCCGCGUCGGGUUAGUCGGGUCCUUAGCCGAGGCCGAAAGGCGUAGGUGAUGGACAUCCGGUCAACAUUCCGGAACCGCUCAGAAUGAGUGAUGGGGGGACGCAGCGAGGUAGGCCAGCCACCGAUUGGUUGUGGUGGUGCGAUCCGUCUAGGUGUUGAGGCUGGUAGGUAAAUCCGCCAGCUGAGCUGAGGCGAGAGCGAGCCGUAAGGCAUAAGUGGUUGAGCCUUGCUGCCAAGAAAAGCCUCUAAACGUUGAUUUCUGAGUGCCCGUACCGCAAUCCGACACUGGUAGAUGGGUAGAGUAUACCAAGGCGAACGGGAGAACCCUCGUUAAGGAACUAGGCAACAUGACCCCGUAACUUCGGGAGAAGGGGUACCUUCUAGCGUUCGGGUAACCAAAGCGCUGGAGGGUCGCAGUGAAAUGGCUCUGGCGACUGUUUAACAAAAACACAGGUCUCUGCUAAGCCGUAAGGCGAUGUAUAGGGGCUGACGCGUGCCCAGUGCCGGAAGGUUAAGGGGAGAGGUUAGCGCAAGCGAAGCUUUGAACCGAAGCCCCGGUGAACGGCGGCCGUAACUAUAACGGUCCUAAGGUUAACAUUUGCUAGCCUUAGUAAAAUCGAACUAUAUGCGGGAAAAUCCUCAACAGCCAUGCGGUACUCGUCGUAAUCGAAUACGGCAGUAAAAAUCCGCUGGACACGGGGACAAUCCGCAGGGAAGGCUUCCAUGAUGGAUGAUGAUAUAUUGGAAGAACCCUCAGAGACUUCACGUUCGAUCUCGAAUUCCUCGAGGUUGGAAGCGCAAUGGGUUGUAGGGUUUGUAGAUGGAGAAGGAUGCUUUUAUGUCGGUAUCAAUUCCCAUCCUGAGAUGAAGGCAGGGUUUCAGGUUUUACCUGAAUUCACGGUUGUUCAACAUAAGCAAGAUGUACAACUACUUUAUGCCCUGAAACGAUUUUUUGGGUGUGGCGUUGUCCGGCAAAAUCAUGAUGACCGCAUGGCUUAUCGUGUAAGAGGUGUGGAACACCUCUGGGAGCGGAUCAUUCCGUUCUUCGAGAAGCAUCCUUUGAAGACCAAAAAGCGUCUUGAUUUUUUGAAAUUCAGGAAAACCCUGAUGAUGAUGCAGAAAGGUGAACAUCUGACACCCGCCGGGAUCGAAAAGAUCCGCCAAAUCGCUUCUGAAAUGAAUCGAGGACGAGAAAGAUAAAGUCCGGCUUCUCUGGAAACAGAGUAAGAUGAACCGAGCGAAAUUCCUUGUCGGGUAAGUUCCGACCCGCACGAACCGCGUAACGAUCAGAGCACUGUCUCAACGAGGGACCCGGUGAAGUUGAAUUGGCUGUGAAGAUGCGGCCUACCCGCAGCAGGACAAAAAGACCCCGUGGAGCUUUACUGCAACUUGGCAUUGUGUUUGGGUAUGAUCUGUGUAGCAUAGGUGGGAGGCUUUGAAGCUGGGGCGUUAGCCUCGGUGGAGCCGCCAGUGAAAUACCACCCUGAUUAUGCUUAGACCCUAACCCCGCACCGU